rnacentral:tRNA from 2 species
GGAGAAAUGGCUGAGUGGUCGAAAGCACUAGAUUGCUAAUCUAGCGUACAAUUAUUUGUACCCAGGGUUCGAAUCCCUGUUUCUCCU